UAGAAAAUAGUGUGAUGAAGCACUAAGAGUUUUGAUCUCUUCAGAAUGGGUUCAAAUCCCCUUUUUCUAA
rnacentral:tRNA from 1 species